CCAAAAGCUGGCGACCGGCGCACGGGUGAGUAACACGUAUCCAACCUGCCUCAUACUCGGGGAUAGCCUUUCGAAAGAAAGAUUAAUAUCCGAUAGCAUAUAUUUCCCGCAUGGGUUUUAUAUUAAAGAAAUUCGGUAUGAGAUGGGGAUGCGUUCCAUUAGUUUGUUGGGGAGGUAACGGCCCACCAAGACUACGAUGGAUAGGGGUUCUGAGAGGAAGGUCCCCCACAUUGGAACUGAGACACGGUCCAA
rnacentral:rRNA from 1 species